CUAAAAUGAAAAUAAUAAUACAUUUUUAUGUGAAUUUGACAAAAGCGGAAUCCUUUCUAGCCAUGACCCCUGGGAAGAUGACUUGUAAAAAAUGGAGGAUGACCAAUUGCUCUUUUAUGGUGGUUGUGAUACAUUGGAUGGCAGUUGAAACAUGUUUCUAAAGUUGGUUCCCAUCUCAGCUCUACAAUUUCAAAAUAAUUCAGUUUUGAACACACAGGAGAGUUUAUAUUGUUAUUUUCCUGAACUUGGAAUGUCCAUUAACUUCUGCAUCCUGAAGGAUUGCCAAAAACAGGCCACCAAUCCAACCGACUAAUCCAGGCAGAAUUAAAGACGCCACAUGGGUUUUCAUGAUUAUUAAUCCCUGUUUUGGGCCUUUGGAUUUACAAAUAGAUUUGACCUGUGGUUAAGAUUACCAGGCAGUAGUCCCUCUGAUUUGGCAGAUUUGGGGAAAUGCCAUCUGUUCCCUCUAUAGUGCUCGCUCUUAUUUAAUACAACCUCUAUAAUAGUAUAUUAUAGGUGGCAGGGGUGCUUCCUUAGCUACUGUAGUAUCAGCACAGCUCAGGGUUUGUUGUAGGAAGAUAUGACGUGGGUAGUAUUGCAGGGCCAUCCUACUGUAAGUUAUCAGCGGAAGUGGAGUCAUUCAAACCAAACCCGCUGAAUUAUGUAACCAUUGAAUUCUGUGCAUAUUUGAGAGGCAACCGUUCCAUUGCUGUUUGAGUUUACUUCAAGGCUAGAUGUUGUAGAUCCAUAGUUAAAAUCAAAACAUUAGUGUUUCAGCUCCAUUUAUUGAUUUCCCUCUGUUUUGAAUAGACUAAACAAAUCACCACCUCCAAAUUCAUCCCUGUCAUGUUCCCUAUAUAGUACCUGUUGGGUUACUAUAUAUUUGACUGAGGGUUUAAACAGGUUUCAUGUUAGCCCUCUCCUGACCCUUCACGGGGUCAUGUUCAAUUGAGUAGCUUAUAGAUUACUGUGUCCCACGCUUGCCAUCUUCCUGGUGUUGCUUCUGGGAGUGUGCAGGGCUCACAAUGUUGUAGACAGAAAUGUAGGCUAAUGUAUAGAACUGGCAAAAUUCCCACAAUUAUGUCUACUCCUCUCCUACACACACAUUCUGUAAUGUUAUUUGCACCGCACCCUCCUGAACAGGCCCCAGGCAUCUACCUGGCUAGGUGUGUCCCGUCCAUUAUCAGGGUUGGGCCUAUAGCUCCACCUCUGUAUGUGCUACUCUCUGAAGGGAGAGAGCCUGUUUUCCCCAGUCGGUCUGGUAUUGGGCUGGGUGCUGUGCCUGAGAGGGAGUCAGUCUGGUAUUUUGGCUGAGUGCCUUGCCUGAGAGGGACUCCCAUUGUCCCCUGUCCUGUCUCCACUGGUCCCCGUCAGCCCACAGCUGCUGAACUACAGAAAGAGAAGAAGAGUUCCAUUCAUUACCUAACCCUGCUGCCUGCCUUCCGAAGCGCUUGCCGUCAACAGGCCGCAGCCAUAAUGCAAGGGAAGGAGGUUGGCCAAGUCUACUCUACAGAACAGAACAGAGCAGGGCUGUAGUAUUGUGUGCUAGGGAAAUUAUAAUGUGUAACUGUUCUCAUUACUCGCCUGUCUGCCUGUCUGCCUGUCUGCCUGCCUGGGCUCUGGGACUCUCCAGAGUAGCUACUGCUGCCUAGGUUUUCUUGGAGUGAAGCCAAGUAGAUUGGGUCUAAUGUGGGAUUGGGCUGUGGAGGCACAGAGAGAGAGUCUGAUCGGAGAAUGACAAUGGAUUUCUCUCGCCUACACACAUACACUCCUCCACAGUGUGCUCCAGAGAACACAGGAUAUACCUACUCCCUCAGGUGAGAAUGCUGGCUGCGCUACUGAUCGUUACUGACUGGCAUCUACUGACCAUUUCAUCAGGUUCAUUUCAUGUCCAUUCUAGACAAUUCAGAGUGUGUGUAAUGAACAAUUGCAGGAGUAUUUACGUGAAUUGAAAUGGUAUAGUACAUAUCCUGUUCCUCUGUAGAACAGGCUAGAGGUUUCAUACUGUGUCUUAUCCAAGGUUCAGGGACCUAUCUGUUCCUCUGUAGAACAGGCUAGAGGUUUCAUACUGUGUCUUAUCCAAGGUUCAGGGACCUAUCUGUUCCUCUGUAGAACAGGCUAGAGGUUUCAUACUGUGUCUUAUCCAAGGUUCAGGGACCUAUCUGUUCCUCUGUAGAACAGGCUAGAGGUUUCAUACUGUGUCUUAUCCAAGGUUCAGGGACCUAUCUGUUCCUCUGUAGAACAGGCUAGAGGUUUCAUACUGUGUCUUAUCCAAGGUUCAGGGACCUAUCUGUUGCUCUUCCCGUAUUCAGAUGGCCUCCAGAUGUGUGGUGAGGGUUAUCAUCAAUCUUUCCUUCCUACACUAGUUAGCUAUUCCUCUGUGACUCAGGUAAAAAUAGUAUUUGUUAUUGAAUCCCGUCUCCCUAAUGUGGUUAUGUCCACUGACUACAGUCAGAGCCUCUGUCAGAUCAGUCAAGUCAUUACCACAGCUGUGGAGAAUGAAAGGGUUCUGCUGCCUCAAUCCUGAGGUUGUUUCUCAUUCACCUCCUGUUUUUCAGUGUUUGACAUCUCUUUCCAAGAGUAAAGCACCAUUAGGAGUCCUGAAUGAGUUUGUGUUGCAUUCAGAAAUCUUACUGACUUGAUUGUCUUUGCUCUCACUUGAGUAAAAAGCUCUUUUGAAGUACAUUUGAGAAUACAUUUUACAACAGUUGGAGUGAGGAGAGAAUGUUGAAAUUGUAAAGAUGUAUUUUAAUGGCUUCUAUUACUAGCUAAAUAUUUUCAGUCUAGAUACAAAUAUUCAUCCUUGACAGUUGAUACAUUGAAGAUCUUGGUGCAGUCUUGCUGAUGAGUUCCAGAGUUGCUCACACGAGCAACCGCUGUGGUUGUGGUUUCGAUGAUUCAGCCCGAUGAUUCUGUCAGUGUGUGCGCUUGUGGUUCAGCAUUUCUGUGUGUAAGGCUGUGUGUUAUGAGGGAACAACACAAUGAAAAUGGUAGCAUAGCGCCUUUGUAGUUAUCUUAGUUUGGACUGACUAUCCCUUGGCUUGGUGUUUGCUUCCUGUGUUUCCUCUCAUGGUAUGUCUCAUGUCAGUCACACACUGUUCUCUCCCUCUGAAUUUUCAAGGAAGAAACUUUUCAUGUUGUGCAGUUUAUUUUUUAUGGAUUCAAAAAAAGUGGCUUAGGUGGUGGGUGUGGCAAUGGAUGCGGGCGGCAAAGGUCGCAGUUAGACUUUGGCUCUGCUGAAUUUUAGGGAACAUUUGAAAGGCUCCUCAUCUAAGUGGUGUAGCAAUUUUUUGUGCAUUUUCAAGCCAAUUUCCUGCAAUUCUUAAAUUCUC
ensembl:lncRNA